GUGAACGCUGGCGGUAGGCCUAACACAUGCAAGUCGCACGGCAGCACAGUAAGAGCUUGCUCUUACGGGUGGCGAGUGGCGGACGGGUGAGGAAUACAUCGGAAUCUACUUUUUCGUGGGGGAUAACGUAGGGAAACUUACGCUAAUACCGCAUACGACCUACGGGUGAAAGCAGGGGAUCUUCGGACCUUGCGCGAUUGCAUGAGCCGAUGUCGGAUUAGCUAGUUGGCGGGGUAAAGGCCCACCAAGGCGACGAUCCGUAGCUGGUCUGAGAGGAUGAUCAGCCACACUGGAACUGAGACACGGUCCAGACUCCUACGGGAGGCAGCAGUGGGGAAUAUUGGACAAUGGGCGCAAGCCUGAUCCAGCCAUACCGCGUGGGUGAAGAAGGCCUUCGGGUUGUAAAGCCCUUUUGUUGGGAAAGAAAAGCAGCAGGUUAAUACCCCGCUGUUCUGACGGUACCCAAAGAAUAAGCACCGGCUAACUUCGUG
rnacentral:rRNA from 1 species